UAGGCGGGUGUAUUUCUGUAUUCAUUGUCCUGGCAGUACCAGGUUAAGUUGACAGCUUGACAGCUUGGCUCCAGGAAUGAAAGAUUCUUUAUUGACGAUCUUCCUUAUCCUUCUCUUUGGGUGCCUAUUAAGUUGAAUGCAAUUCUAUUUUUUUUGCCGCCCAACCCGGUCCAAGGCUACUCCCUUUGGGAAGGAGCGGAGAACUGAACGUGAUCUAUAGACAACUGCACCGAAUUUUGUGAGAACUGGAGACUUUGAGAGAACAGAACAAAUGUGAGCGGGUUUGUGCUUUCCUGCCUUCAACAAAUGUAUAGGAAAAAUGUGGUAGGAAAAUGAUGAGGUUGGUUAUCUUGUUAAAACGCUCUCCUGCCAAAGAACAGGCUACCCCAACUUCCUGGAAACAUACUUACCAGCUUCUGCACGGCCGAAUCGUGAGGAAUUUUUCUUUUUUCCCACCUCCUUCCUUCCAAUGAUUUCACCCUCCAAGGACUGUUUUAGAAAAAAAUUAAAAUGUUGGGUGGUGUUUGCUAUUUUCCCUAUUCAAGAUAAAAGGUUUAUUGAGUCUCCUGGGGAAAAAAAGGUGUUCUUACAACCGUUUUAUUGACUAAGAACAGCUCCGUGAGAUACUGGAAGCUUUGUCUUUUUUUAGCCACUGAAUUAUUCCAACUGAGGCACAUAUGAAAAAUGGCAGAAAGAAGUCACCGCCCCGUAUGAGGAAAGCAAAGCUGAGAAGGGGGCACACGGGCGUAAGUGCCCCAGAGCUGAACUUGAGGGGCACAGUGGGGGAAUACAACAGGGGUCUCUGAUGGACUAGGUCUGCGUUCUCUGCUUUCUGCUUAAUGCCCCAGAGUUGACUUGUAGAAAGAGCUCCACCUGUGACCUCAUGGCAGAAAGUGCACCUCUUAAAGAACCCUCUAGAACACUUCAGAGCCACGAGCACUGUGGCCUUUGACAUUAAAUAAACAGGACCAGACAAACCCCUCUUUGAGUGGGUGUGACUCCGGAGUGCUUUCUGAGUUCUUCAAACUGACGUGAGCCCAGUGCUUGAAGCAUAAAUGGCCCACACGUCCCUUUAAACAGGUUUCAUUAUUCUGUUGUCUGCGAUGCUCACCAGUACGAGUAAUGAAUGCAGUUUUUUUGUGUGUGGUUAAAAAAAUAAACAUAUACCAUGAGAUCUACCUUCCAAAUAAAGAUGUAAGCAUACA